CGCAUCUGUGCAUGCAGCAUAUCAAUAAGCGGAGGAAAAGAAACUAACAAGGAUUCCCUCAGUAACGGCGAGUGAAGCGGGAAGAGCUCAAAUUUGAAAUCUUCAAGGUUUUACCUUGACGAAUUGUAGUUUAAAGAAGUGUUUUCUGCUGAAGUUUUGGUAAAAGUUCUUUGGAAUAGGACAUCACAGAGGGUGAGAAUCCCGUCUAUGAUUGCGAUUUGUAGCUUUGUGAUACACUUUCAAAGAGUCGGAUUGUUUGGGAAUGCAGUCCAAAAUGGGUGGUAAAUUUCAUCUAAAGCUAAAUAUUGGCGAGAGACCGAUAGCGAACAAGUACCGUGAGGGAAAGAUGAAAAGAACUUUGAAAAGAGAGUUAAACAGUACGUGAAAUUGUCAAAAGGGAAGCGUUUGACACCAGUGUUGUUUUCCUCGAAAAUCAAUUAAAAAUGGCUCGAUUUUGUAUUGCUUGAGACCUUAAAAGCUCACUGUACAUUUUUCGUGUCUUUUUUAAUGCACUUUUCGUUUAACAAGUCAACAUCAGUUUCUUUUGUUGUAAAAGGGUCAUUGGAAGGUGGCUUUCUUUUCGGAGAAAGUGUUUAUAGCCUUUGGCCUCUGCAAUCGAAGAGACUGAGGUCUGCAGCGUAGACUCUUCGGGGUUAGAUACAUUUGUGCUAAGUUAUAGCUUUUUAUAGACAACUUGUUGACUAUAAUUAGUCUUGUAGCUUACUCGCUUAUGCUAUUUUACCUACGCUUAGGAUGUUGAAGUCAUCGUAUCGCGC
rnacentral:rRNA from 1 species